rnacentral:lncRNA from 1 species
UUGUCCAGUCUCGACCCAGCAGAGGCAGUGUUUCCACAUGGUUAGAUAAGCCCUUUACUCUCAGCCUGAGAGGGUGGCCUGGAUGGUGGAGCUGCAAGAACCUGAUAAGAGCCUUGGCAAGGAAGGUCCCCUAGUGUUUAAUGGACCCCCUUCCCCUUUGAAAUCGGUCUUUUUGAUCCUUUUAAGAAGGGGGCUUGCGGGUAGGAGAGCGAAGAGCGAGCGCUGCUUCCAGCGGGAGCCUCGGGGGAGGGUGACGGGGCCGCCGUUGGGGGGAGCCGCGCCGCAUCUCAGGCGCAGUCUCUAGGGGCUGUGCGCAUCCGUGGGGGGGACAUGUGCAUCUCAGGGGGGCUGCUCGCAUCUGGGGGUGCUGUGUGCAUCUCGGGGGGGCUGUGCC